rnacentral:rRNA from 1 species
UACGAAGGGGGCUAGCGUUGCUCGGAAUCACUGGGCGUAAAGGGUGCGUAGGCGGGUCUUUAAGUCAGGGGUGAAAUCCUGGAGCUCAACUCCAGAACUGCCUUUGAUACUGAAGAUCUUGAGUUCGGGAGAGGUGGGUGGAACUGACGAGUGUAGAGGUGAAAUUCGUAGAUAUUCGCAAGAACACCAGUGGCGAAGGCGGCUCACUGGCCCGAUACUGACGCUGAGGCACGAAAGCGUGGG